rnacentral:rRNA from 1 species
UACGGGGGGGGCAAGCGUUGUUCGGAAUUACUGGGCGUAAAGGGCUCGUAGGCGGCCCACUAAGUCCAACGUGAAAUCCCCAGGCUUAACUUGGGAACUGCGUCGGAUACUGGUGGGCUUGAAUCCGGGAGAGGGAUGCGGAAUUCCAGGUGUAGCGGUGAAAUGCGUAGAUAUCUGGAGGAACACCGGUGGCGAAGGCGGCAUCCUGGACCGGCAUUGACGCUGAGUGAGCGAAAGCCAGGGGAGCAAACGGG